GGCAGUGGUGGCUGAACGGUUAAGGCUUUGGGUUACUGGUCAGAAGGUCAGGGGUUCAAGCCCUAGCACUGUCA